CCCAGACAGCCAGGAUGUUGGCUUAGAAGCAGCCAUCAUUUAAAGAAAGCGUAAUAGCUCACUGGUCGAGUCGGCCUGCGCGGAAGAUGUAACGGGGCUAAACCAUGCACCGAAGCUGCGGCAGCGACACUGUGUGUUGUUGGGUAGGGGAGCGUUCUGUAAGCCUGCGAAGGUGUCCCGUGAGGGAUGCUGGAGGUAUCAGAAGUGCGAAUGCUGACAUAAGUAACGAUAAAGCGGGUGAAAAGCCCGCUCGCCGGAAGACCAAGGGUUCCUGUCCAACGUUAAUCGGGGCAGGGUGAGUCGACCCCUAAGGC
rnacentral:rRNA from 2 species